rnacentral:rRNA from 1 species
UUUGGAGGUAGUGACAAUAAAUCACAAUGCGGGACUAUCAGUCUCGCAAUUGGAUUGAGAACAAUGUACAACUCUUAUCGAUAAGCCAUUGGAGGGCAAGUCUGGUGCCAGCAGCCGCGGUAAUUCCAGCUCCAAUAGCGUAUAUUAACGUUGUUGCAGUUAAAAAGCUCGUAGUUGAAGUGUGGGUGAUCGCUGUUGUGAGACUUCGGUCUCUCGACAGUAAGUCACCCCCUUCCAGUAUCCAGUAGUGGGUAUUCACUUACUUACUACUGUGUGUUGGUCGUUUACUGUGAGAAAAUUAGAGUGUUCAAAGCAGGCGUUUGCUUGAAUAGAUUAGCAUGGAAUAAUAAUUGAAGGCUUUCGUGUUCGAUUUGAUUGGUUUGUUCAUGGAAGCAAGGUUAAAAGGAACAGUUGGGGGUAUUCAUAUUCACUAGUUAGAGGUGAAAUUCUCGGAUUUAUGGAAGAUGAACAAGUGCGAAAGCAA